AAAGACCUUAUGCUUUUGGAGCGGCCGAUGUCUGAUUAGCUAGUUGGUGAGGUAAAGGCUUACCAAGGCAACGAUCAGUAGUUGGUCUGAGAGGACGACCAGCCACACUGGGACUGAGACACGGCCCAGACUCCUACGGGAGGCAGCAGUGGGGAAUUUUGGACAAUGGGCGAAAGCCUGAUCCAGCAAUGCCGCGUGAGUGAAGAGGGCCUUCGGGUUGUAAAGCUCUUUCAGCCGGAACGAAACGGUCACGGCUAAUACCUGUGACUACUGACGGUACCGGAAGAAGAAGCACCGGCUAACUACGUGCCAGCAGCCGCGGUAAUACGUAGGGUGCAAGCGUUAAUCGGAAUUACUGGGCGUAAAGGGUGCGCAGGCGGUUCUGUAAGUCAGAUGUGAAAUCCCCGGGCUUAACCUGGGAACU
rnacentral:rRNA from 1 species